ACGCGGGCGGUUCGCCGCCCGCGACACUGCGAGAAGUCCAUUGAACCUUAUCAUUUAGAGGAAGGAGAAGUCGUAACAAGGUUUCCGUAGGUGAACCUGCGGAAGGAUCAUUGUCGAGACCAAAGUUACAUCGAGCGACUCAGAGAACCCGUGAAAUAAGCGGCGGCGGCCGCCGUCGUGAAGCAGCUGUCCCGGCCGUUGCCCCCACCAUUGGAGGGGGCCGCAGCGAAGGUCUGCUGAAACCCCAAUACCGGCGCAGACUGGCGCCAAGCGAACUAUCGAAAAGCACGGGCCCGACACCGGGUCCUCGUGUGGUGGAGCGGCGCUGCGCGCCGCACGUAUUGACACGACUCUCGACAAUGGAUAUCUCGGCUCUCGCAUCGAUGAAGAGCGCAGCGAAAUGCGAUACGUGGUGCGAAUUGCAGAAUCCCGCGAACCAUCGAGUCUUUGAACGCAAGUUGCGCCCGAGGCCAUUCGGUCGAGGGCACGUCCGCCUGGGCGUCAAGCGUUGCGCCGCUCCGUGCCGAGUCCCCCAUCCCGCCGCAGUGGGGGUGCCGGUCGAGGCCCGGAUGUGUAGAGUGGCCCGUCGUGCCGGUCGGUGCGGCGGGCUGAAGAGCGGGUUGUCGUCUCGUUGGCCGCGAGCAGCGAGGGGUGGAAGAAAGCUGCUGCUGCGUUGUCUCGUGCCGGCCGAGAGAAGAUCACACCCUUCGUGCGAUCCCAUCCCAUGCGCCGCACUUCCGGUGCGGCGGCUUGGAAUGCGACCCCAGGACGGGCGAGACCACCCGCCGAGUUUAAGCAUAUCAAUAAGCGGAGGAGAAGAA
rnacentral:rRNA from 1 species